rnacentral:pre_miRNA from 1 species
AGUGGGAUGGCUGGGGUCAAAUGGUGGUUCCAUUCCAAGUUUUCUGAGGAACAUCCAUACUACUUUCCACAGUGGAUGCACCAAUUUGCAGUCUCACCAGCAAU